CGUGUAGGCGGUUCUGUAAGUCGGACGUGAAAGCUCCUGGCUUAACUGGGAGAGGCCGUUCGAUACUGCAGGACUUGAGGUCGGGAGAGGGACGUGGAAUUCCCGGUGUAGUGGUGGAAUGCGUAGAUAUCGGGAGGAACACCAGUGGCGAAGGCGGCGUCCUGGCCCGCACCUGACGCUAAGACGCGAAAGCGUGGGUAGCGAACG
rnacentral:rRNA from 1 species